AGAGUUUGAUCAUGGCUCAGAACGAACGCUGGCGGCGUGCCUAACACAUGCAAGUCGAACGUGAUCCAGAGCUUGCUCUGGUGAAAGUGGCGCACGGGUGAGUAACGCGUAGAUAAUCUGCCUGAUGAUCGGGGAUAACACUUCGAAAGGGGUGCUAAUACCGGAUAAGCUCACGGAGUCCUUGGACUCUGCGGGAAAAGGGGGGGACCUUCGGGCCUUCUGUCAUCAGAUGAGUCUGCGUACCAUUAGCUAGUUGGUAGGGUAAAGGCCUACCAAGGCGACGAUGGUUAGCUGGUCUGAGAGGAUGAUCAGCCACACUGGAACUGAGACACGGUCCAGACUCCUACGGGAGGCAGCAGUGGGGAAUUUUGCGCAAUGGGGGAAACCCUGACGCAGCAACGCCGCGUGAGUGAUGAAGGCUCUUGGGUCGUAAAGCUCUGACAGAGGGAAAGAAGUGUAGGGAGGCUAAUAUCCUCUUUACUUGACGGUACCCUCAAAGGAAGCACCGGCUAACUCCGUGCCAGCAGCCGCGGUA
rnacentral:rRNA from 1 species